rnacentral:rRNA from 1 species
AAGCAGGGGAUCGCAAGACCUUGCGCUUUUGGAGCGGCCGAUGUCUGAUUAGCUAGUUGGUGAGGUAAAGGCUUACCAAGGCUUCGAUCAGUAGCUGGUCUGAGAGGACGACCAGCCACACUGGGACUGAGACACGGCCCAGACUCCUACGGGAGGCAGCAGUGGGGAAUUUUGGACAAUGGGGGAAACCCUGAUCCAGCCAUGCCGCGUGAGUGAAGAAGGCCUUCGGGUUGUAAAGCUCUUUCAGCCGGAAAGAAACGGUUACGGUUAAUACCCGUGACUAAU